rnacentral:rRNA from 1 species
GACUAAACUGUCUCCUAUGGGGAUCCAAUGAAACUGAUCUUUCAGUCCAAAAGCUGAAAUUCUAACAUUAGACGAGAAGACCCUGUGGAGCUUCCAAACCAACACCAACCACCCAUGGUUUUAUGGUUUUUAGUUGGGGCGACUUCGGAGAAUAAAAAAACCUCCAACCAGGAUAACUCUCCUGAUUGAGAUUAACACAUCAAAAUAACUUGACUUGACCCAGCAGUUAACCCCUCCCUGUCUGAUCAAGGAACCAAGUUACCCCAGGGAUAACAGCGCCAUCCUCUUUCAGAGUCCCUAUCGACAAGAGGGUUUACGACCUCG